CAGAUGGUGCAGCCAACCUCCAGCCAUCCAGUGGUGCCUGCUGUAAUGUAAGCUCAGACCCAUCCUUCCCGGAUCCCUUACGACCUGUGAAACCCUCACCAUUUUCCUGGCUUGCCAUCUUGCAUGCGGCAUGCUGAUUUUCAGGGUCGGCUGAGACUGCAUACAGCACCCUGCAUGGCUCAGAAAGAAAGUAGGGUGAUGUCAGCAUAACUUGCCACAGCAAAUGAACUCAUGUGUGUUGGUGCAGUCUUGCUGGACUCAAACCCGGCAGGCGAUAAGGGGCGGCGGCUGCAAUGCUUGGGUGUGGUGUGGAAUGACUACAGGGUGCAAUGAUGGCUACGGAACUAUUUACGGGUACCAGCAAUGCACCCUGAAAUUCCAGUCCAGCAUGCAAGCUCUGCAGCCGAGCCUCACACAGACCUCUAAAUUGGGCGCAUCACCUUUCAC
rnacentral:lncRNA from 1 species